rnacentral:rRNA from 1 species
GAUGAACGCUGGCGGCGUGCCUAAUACAUGCAAGUCGAGCGAACGGACGAGAAGCUUGCUUCUCUGACGUUAGCGGCGGACGGGUGAGUAACACGUGGAUAACCUACCUAUCAGACUGAGAUCACUUCGGGACACCGGAGCUUAUCCCGGAGAAUCUCUUGAAGCGCAUGGUGCAAUAGUGAAAGACGGUGUUGGUGUCACUUCUAGCUGGAUCCGCGCUGCAUGAGCUAGUUGGGAAGGUAACGGCUUAUCAAGGCAACGAUGCGUAGCCGACCUGAGAGGGGGAUCGGCGGCAUGAGAAGUGAGACGCGGUCAAGACUACUACGGGAGGGCGCAGUAGGGAAUGUUACGCAAAGGGCGAGAACAUGACGGAGCGACGGCGCGUGAGAUAUGAAGGUCUCGGGAGCGGGAAGCUCUGUUAUUGGGUAAGAACCGAUGUGGAAGUAGCUGUGCAGUGAGUGACGGUAACUAGUAAGAAAGCAACGGCUAACUACGUG